CCUACGGGAGACUGCAGUGGGGAAUUUUGGACAAUGGGCGCAAGCCUGAUCCAGCUAUUCCGCGUGUGGGAAGACGGCCUUCGGGUUGUAAACCACUUUUGUAGAGAACGAAAGGUCUAUUGAUAAUACCGAUAGAUGAUGACGGUACUCUAAGAAUAAGCACCGGCUAACUACGUGCCAGCAGCCGCGGUAAUACGUAGGGUGCGAGCGUUAAUCGGAAUUACUGGGCGUAAAGGGUGUGCAGGCGGUUUUGCAAGAUGGAUGUGAAAGCCCCGGGCUUAACCUGGGAAAGCCAUACAUGACUGCAAGACUAGAGUGCGUCAGAGGGGGGUGGAAUUCCAAGUGUAGCAGUGAAAUGCGUAGAUAUUUGGAAGAACACCGAUGGCGAAGGCAGCCCCCUGGGACGCAACUGACGCUCAUACACGAAAGCGUGGGUAUCAAACAGGAUUAGAUACCCGAGUAGUC
rnacentral:rRNA from 1 species